rnacentral:rRNA from 1 species
GAUGAACGCUGGCGGCGUGCUUAACACAUGCAAGUCGAACGACGAAGCCCAGCUUGCUGGGUGGCUUCGCGGCGAACGUGUGAGUAACACGUGAGUAACCUGCCCUUAACUCUGGGAUAAGCCUGGGAAACUGGGUCUAAUACCGGAUAGGAGCGUCCACCGUACGGUGGGUGUUGUAAAGAUUUAUCGCUUUUGGAUGGACUCGCGGCCUAUCAGCUUGUUGGUGUGGUAAUGGCUCACCAAGGCGACGACGGGUAGCCGGCCUGAGAGGGUGACCGGCCACACGGGGACUGAGAGACGGCGCAGACUCCUACGGGAGGCAGCAGUGGGGAAUAUUGCACAAUGGGCGCAAGCCUGAGGAAGAGGCGCCGCGGGAGGGAUGAAGGCCUGCGGGGUGUGAACCUCGUUGAGUGGAGAAAAAGCGAAAGUGACGGUACCUGCAGAAGAAGCACCGGCUAACUAAGUG